ensembl:lncRNA
UUUAUUGGUCGUCAUGAAAAAAAACAUAAGGGGUAACACUGUUGUUUUUUAUUGGUCGGCAUGAAAAAAAACAUCAGGGGGGUAACACUGUUGUUUUUUAUUGGUCGGCAUGAAAAAAAACAUCAGGGGUAACACUGUUGUUUUUUAUUGGUCGUCAUGAAAAAAAACAUCAGGGGUAACACUGUUGUUUUUUAUUGAUCGUCAUGAAAAAAAACAUAAGGGGUAACACUGUUGUUCUUUAUUGGUCAUCAUGAAAAAAGCAUAAGGGGUAACACUGUUGUUUUUUAUUGGUCGGCAUGAAAAAAAACAUCAGGGGUAACACUGUUGUUUUUUAUUGGUCGUCAUGAAAAAAAACAUAAGGGUUAACACUGUUGUUUUUUAUUGGUCGGCAUGAAAAAAAACAUCAGGGGUAACACUGUUGUUUUUUAUUGGUCGUCAUGAAAAAAAACCAUAAAGGGUAACACUGUUGUCUUUGUCAAAUAAAAUAUAAGGGGUAACACUGUCGUUUUUUAUUGGUGGUCAUGAAAAUAAACAUAAGGGAAAUAAUAUAAAUACACACAUACAUUUUAAUGUCAUGUACAUCCUCUUUAUUGAUCAUUGAUUAUUGUGUAUUGUCAUGAAAUAAACAUAAGGGGUAACGCUGUCGAUAUUUAUCAAAUAAAACAUAGGGGGUAACACUGUUGUUUUUCUUUGGUCGUCAUGAAAAAAAACACAACGAGGUAACACUGUUGUUUUUUUAUUGGUCGUCAUGAAUAAAAACAUAAGGGGUAACACUGUUGUUUUUUAUUGGUUCGUCAUGAAAAAAAACAUAAGGGGUAACACUGUUGUUUUCUAUUGGUCGUCAUGAAAAAAAACAUAAGGGGUAACACUGUUGUUUUUUAUUGGUCGUCAUGAAAAAAAACAUAAAGGGUAACACUGUUGUCUUUGUCAAAUAAAAUAUAAGGGGUAACACUGUCGUUUUUUAUUGGUGGUCAUGAAAAUAAACAUAAGGGAAAUAAUAGAAAUACACACAUACAUUUUAAUGUCAUGUACAUCCUCUUUAUUGAUCAUUGAUUAUUGUGUAUUGUCAUGAAAUAAACAUAAGGGGUAACGCUGUCGAUAUUUAUCAAAUAAAACAUGGGGGGUGACACUGUUGUUUUUUAUUGGUCAUCAUGAAAAAAAACAUAAGAGGUAACACUGUUGUUUUUUUAUUGGUCGUCAUGAAUAAAAACAUAAGGGGUAACACUGUUGUUUUUUAUUGGUCGUCAUGAAAAAAAACAUAGGGGGUAACUCUGUUGUCUUUGUCAAAUAAAAUAUAAGGGGUAACAUUGUCGUAUUUUAUUGGUCGUCAAAAAAAGACAUAUUUGAAAAAAAAAAAAGAUUUGUCCUUGUCA